CAGUAGCCACGGUAAUGCGUAGGUGGCAAGCGUUGUCCGGAAUUAUUGGGCGUAAAGGGCUCGCAGGCGGUUUCUUAAGUCUGAUGUGAAAGCCCCCGGCUCAACCGGGGAGGGUCAUUGGAAACUGGGAAACUUGAGUGCAGAAGAGGAGAGUGGAAUUCCACGUGUAGCGGUGAAAUGCGUAGAGAUGUGGAGGAACACCAGUGGCGAAGGCGACUCUCUGGUCUGUAACUGACGCUGAGGAGCGAAAGCGUGGGGAGCGAACAGGAUUAGAUACCCCCGUAGUCCAUGUCUCUUAUAC
rnacentral:rRNA from 1 species